rnacentral:rRNA from 1 species
UACGGAGGGUGCUAGCGUUAAUCGGAAUUACUGGGCGUAAAGCGCGCGUAGGCGGAUAUAUAAGUCAGGAGUGAAAUCCCUCGGCUUACCCGAGGAAUAGCUUUUGAUACUGUAUAUCUUGAGUUCGGGAGAGGUCAGUGGAAUUCCAGGUGUAGGAGUGAAAUCCGUAGAUAUCUGGAGGAACAUCAGUGGCGAAGGCGACUGUCUGGCCCGAUACUGACGCUGAGGUGCGAAAGCAUGGGUAGCAAAC